rnacentral:rRNA from 1 species
UACGGAGGGAGCAAGCGUUGUUCGGAUUUACUGGGCGUAAAGGGCGCGUAGGCGGCUUAACAAGUCACUUGUGAAAUCUCCGGGCUUAACCCGGAGCGGCCAAGUGAUACUGUUGUGCUAGAGUGCGGAAGGGGCUACUGGAAUUCUCGGUGUAGCGGUGAAAUGCGUAGAUAUCGAGAGGAACACCUGCGGCGAAGGCGGGUAGCUGGGCCGACACUGACGCUGAGGCGCGAAAGCCAGGGGAGCGAACGGG